AUUCUUCAGGGCAGGGUGUAAUUCCCGACCGGCGGUAAGCGUUUUUGAUUUGUGUUUUGAUAUUAGAAAGAAGCGUAAGCCCGCGAGCGACAGCAUGAUCCGGUGUGAUUCCGGAGCCGACGGUACAGUCCGGAUGUGAGAAGAAG
rnacentral:ncRNA from 1 species